CUUUGGCGAUUUAGCUCCAUGACGUUGCGUGUAUGCUCAUAAAGCUAGAUUACCAAAGCA
rnacentral:pre_miRNA from 1 species